rnacentral:rRNA from 1 species
GACUUCGGUCUCUGAGUAGAGCGGCGCACGGGUGAGUAACGCGUGGAUGAUCUACCCUUGAGUUCGGGAUAACGGCGCGAAAGUGCCGCUAAUACCGUAUAACAAUCCAUUUCAUAGUGGGUUCAAAGCAGGCCUCUUCGUGAAAGCUUGCGCUUGGGGAUGAGUCCGCGUCCCAUUAGCUUGUUGGCGGGGUAACGGCCCACCAAGGCUACGAUGGGUAGCUGGUCUGAGAGGAUGAUCAGCCACACUGGAACUGAAACACGGUCCAGACUCCUACAGGAGGCAGCAGUGGGGAAUAUUGCGCAAUGGGGGAAACCCUGACGCAGCGACGUCGUGUGAGGGAAGAAGGCCUUCGGGUCGUAAACCUCUGUCAGAAGGGAAGAACAUCCGGGAGUCGAACAGCCUCCCGGCCUGACGGUACCUUCAGAGGAAGCGCCGGCUAACUCCGUGCCAGCAGCCGCGGUAAUACGGAGGGCGCAAGCGUUAAUCGGAAUCACUGGGCGUAAAGCGUGCGUAGGCUGUUUGAUAAGUCAGGCGUGAAAUCCCUCGGCUCAACCGGGGAACUGCGUUUGAUACUGUUGAACUAGAGUCCUGGAGAGGGUGGCGGAAUUCCUGGUGUAGGAGUGAAAUCCGUAGAUAUCAGGAGGAACACCGGUGGCGAAGGCGGCCACCUGGACAGGUACUGACGC